rnacentral:rRNA from 1 species
UACAGAGGGGGCAAGCGUUAUUCGGAAUUAUUGGGCGUAAAGGGCGUGUAGGCGGCCUUUCAAGUGACGGGUGAAAGCCCUCGGCUUAACCGAGGAACUGCCUGUCAGACUGGAAGGCUUGAGACCGGGAGAGGUGAGUGGAAUUCCCAGUGUAGCGGUGAAAUGCGUAGAUAUUGGGAGGAACACCAGUGGCGAAGGCGGCUCACUGGACCGGUACUGACGCUGAGGCGCGAAAGCGUGGGGAGCAAGCAGG